AUUGAACGCUGGCGGCAGGCUUAACACAUGCAAGUCGAGCGAGCGGCGGACGGGUGAGUAAUGUCUGGGAAACUGCCUGAUGGAGGGGGAUAACUACUGGAAACGGGAGCUAAUACCGCAUACCAUCAGAUGUGCCCAGAUGGGAUUAGCGAGUAGGUGGGGUAAUGGCGCACCUAGGCGCCGAUCCCUAGCUGGUCUGAGAGGAGGACCGGCCAAACUGGAACUGUGAAACGGUCCAUACUCCUACGGGAGGCGGCAGUGGGGAAUAUUGCCCAAUGGGCGCAAGCCUGAUGCAGCCAUGCCGCGUGUGUGAAGAAGGCCUUCGGGUUGUAAAGCACUUUCAGCGAGGAGGCGUUACUCGCAGAAGAAGCACCGGCUAACUCCGUGCCAGCCGCCGCGGUAAUUC
rnacentral:rRNA from 1 species